GCCGAAGUGGUGGAACUGGUAGACACGCUACCUUGAGGGGGUAGUGGGCUUUGGCCCGUGGAGGUUCGAAUCCUCUCUUCGGCACCA
rnacentral:tRNA from 1 species